ACUGGUGAUCUCAGUACAGACAUCAUGAAUGCAUCAUUUUUUUUCAGGUAACAGAUUCCUUGCCCCUUUGCCUGUGGGCACAGGCAGACCCACCUCAGCAGCUGCACAGGUUUCUCUGCAGCAGAUUUCUCCACCAAAGACCUCCACAUGGGUGAUAGUGGGGGCUUCAGUUCCUUGCUGUUCCAACAUCUUCUGUGAAGGAGUCUUCCAAAGAAAUCUUGAAAAAUGGUGCCAAGUCCAUAGGUGGAAUUAAUCCCCAGCAUUAGCCAUGCUAGACCCAAUCCACUGGACACCCCAAAGAAGGAACUUUUGGAAACGACUGCGAUGUUGCUUCAGAUCCUGCUGCCAGUGCCUCGCUGGUGGUACUCUUCCAAUUGCCACUCCUACAAGUGGGAGGAGCAGCUUUAGGUCCACACCUGAUAGUCCUGGUGAGGUACAUCCAGGAGAGAACAUAACUUUUACCCUCAACAAGGGCUGGAGCUGCAGCUUCAGCUCCAACUCCAUGUGCAGGGAGGAAUAUCCAGAGCCAAGCACCACUGGGCAGGAGCUGGGCCUCAGGGGACCCUCCUGUCUGGGGUGAGUCUGUUUUCCCAUCUCCAGAAUGUGGUGUGCUG
rnacentral:lncRNA from 1 species